rnacentral:SRP_RNA from 1 species
GGCUACCUUCCUUGCGGUGAGGCAUUAACGAACCAGGUCAGGCGGGAAACCGAGCAGCCUUAAGUUUUUGUUUCAGGUGCUUGGGAGGUAGUCUCU